rnacentral:rRNA from 1 species
AUUGAACGCUAGCGGAAUGCUUUACACAUGCAAGUCGAGCGGCAGCGCGGGGCAACCUGGCGGCGAGCGGCGAACGGGUGAGUAAUGUAUCGGAACGUGUCCUGAGAUGGGGGAUAGCCCGGUGAAAACCGGAUUAAUACCGCAUACGAUCGAGAGAUGAAAGUGGGGGACCGCAAGGCCUCACGUCUUAGGAGCGGCCGAUAUCAGAUUAGCUAGUUGGUGAGGUAAAGGCUCACCAAGGCUCCGAUCUGUAGCUGGUCUGAGAGGAUGAUCAGACACACUGGGACUGAGACACGGCCCAGACUCCUACGGGAGGCAGCAGUGGGGAAUUUUGGACAAUGGGGGCAACCCUGAUCCAGCCAUUCCGCGUGAGUGAAGAAGGCCUUCGGGUUGUAAAGCUCUUUUGUCCGGGAAGAAACGGUUUUGGUUAAUAACCAAGACUACUGACGGUACCGGAAGAAUAAGGACCGGCUAACUACGUGCCAGCCGCCGCGGUAAUAC